rnacentral:lncRNA from 1 species
GAUUGUACUAGGGACCGUGUUUUGUGUAAAUCCCGGUUGAGUAACAGUACAGAGGCCGGGGGAACAUUCACAAGCCCAUGCCAGGAAAGUCUCUGUUGAAACAGGGUAGUCUGGUGACAAGUUCCCGUAAGUGAAAGAGCCAGCCCUCACACUCACAACAGGGUUUGGUUCUGAGAAAAACCUGUCCUAGUUGAAACCAAGGAGAGCAGUGACAACCUGGAACGUCACCAUUAGCUAGAGAAUUUGGGAGUAUGUCCAACCGGCCUUACCUCAUGUAACUACGCCAGCCCAGGACCUCCACAUCUGGUUUCUUCAGCUGCAGGAUCAUCUGAGACUAGCCACUUGGACAGCUGAUGAAACUGAGGACUAUUUCUGUCUGUAAUAAAGCCCUUUUGUGGGCAAAAACUCAUUCUGAUUGGCUGGGCUCUCCAGUGGGUGGGCCUAUGCUCUCCCAGACCCACCCAUGGAUGUGCCCCUGCCCAGUCAUGUGAAAUCUAUAGACUAG